rnacentral:sRNA from 1 species
CGUUGUUGCUACCUAUAAACCAUGCAGUGCUGGUUCCCAAUCCAGCGAAGAUUUGUUUUGUCUGUCCGAUGGGCAGAGAGCUAAUCAAAAUUGGUGGGUGCUAGAGUAUCGGACACUCUAGCAUUUUC